AUCGGUGUCCGCCCGCUGUGGGAGGGGCGUGGCCUGGGCGUGGCCUGCGCGCUCCAGACACCUUUUAACCGCGGCUGAGCCCUGCCUAGCGCACCCUGCAGCCAGGAUCACUCUCUGACUCCCGGCUGGUCUCUGUACCACUUUUGCUUUAGACCACAGACAGCUCAGCCUCAGCACUCUACUUCCGUGUUUUGCGUGGGCGACUCCACGUAGCAUCACUGCAGAACUCUUCCUGGGACAGAGGAUUUGGGCCCCUUGGUAAGACUUCAUGGCCCAGUCAGUAAACCUAGAGCAACCAGUUCAUAUGGGUUUGGCUUCUGGAAGUCGAAUCCAUCCCGGAUCACUUUUGCUUCCUGAUGAGAGUAAAGAGUUGACUGUGUCUGUGCCGAGCGCCCUCCCCAGCUCUGGAGCAGCGGAGCGGUUCUGAGCUUGGUGGUGGUGCUGUCUACGUGCUGAGUCUUAUGUCCUGAGUGGCAUUUCCAUCAUGCAUCAGUUGUGUUAGGGGCCUAUUAAGUUUGGGGGCCCUGUUACACCCACCAGAAAAAAACAAACAAACAAACAAACAAACAACCAUGGAAACCUGGCCAGCUGGCAGCGGAUCCAGAGUAUAAGCAAGAUGGCAGAACCCCUCCUUUUAAAAAAAAAAUAGUUUAUUUAUUUUAUGU